UACGUAGGGCGCAAGCGUUGUCCGGAAUUAUUGGGCGUAAAGAGCUCGUAGGCGGCCUGUUGCGUCCGCUGUGAAAUCCCGGGGCUCAACCCCGGGCGUGCAGUGGAUACGGGCUGGCUGGAGGCAGGCAGGGGAGAACGGAAUUCCUGGUGUAGCGGUGAAAUGCGCAGAUAUCAGGAGGAAUACCGAUGGCGAAGGCAGGUCUCUGGGCUGACACUGACGCUCAUGCACGAAAGCGUGGGGAGCAAACAGG
rnacentral:rRNA from 1 species